UACGAAGGGGGCUAGCGUUGUUCGGAUUUACUGGGCGUAAAGCGCACGUAGGCGGAUCGUUAAGUCGGGGGUGAAAUCCUGGAGCUCAACUCCAGAACUGCCUUCGAUACUGGCGAUCUUGAGUCCGGAAGAGGUGAGUGGAACUCCUAGUGUAGAGGUGGAAUUCGUAGAUAUUAGGAAGAACACCAGUGGCGAAGGCGGCUCACUGGUCCGGUACUGACGCUGAGGUGCGAAAGCGUGGGGAGCAAACAGGGAUUAAGAAACCCGAGU
rnacentral:rRNA from 1 species